rnacentral:rRNA from 1 species
UACAGGGGGGGCAAGCGUUGUUCGGAAUUACUGGGCGUAAAGCGCGCGCAGGCGGUCUUCCAAGUCAGUGGUGAAAGCCCGGAGCUCAACUCCGGAACUGCCAUUGAAACUGUUAGACUUGAGGACGAGAGAGGUGAGUGGAAUUCCCAGUGUAGAGGUGAAAUUCGUAGAUAUUGGGAAGAACACCGGUGGCGAAGGCGGCUCACUGGCUCGUUUCUGACGCUCAGGCGCGACAGCGUGGGGAUCAAACAGG